rnacentral:rRNA from 1 species
AGUGAACGCUGGCGGCGUGCCUAAUACAUGCAAGUCGAACGGAGAUUAAGUAGCUUGCUAUUUAAUCUUAGUGGCGCACGGGUGAGUAAUAUAUAGCUAACUUGCCCAUUACUAAGGGACAACAGUUGGAAACGACUGCUAAUACCUUAUACUCCGUAUCUAUACAAGUAGGUACGGGAAAGUUUUUCGGUAAUGGAUAGGGCUAUAUCGUAUCAGCUAGUUGGUAAGGUAACGGCUUACCAAGGCUAUGACGCGUAACUGGUCUGAGAGGAUGAUCAGUCACACUGGAAUGAGACACGGUCCAGACUCCUACGGGAGGCAGCAGUAGGGAAUAUUGCUCAAUGGGGGAAACCCUGAAGCAGCAACGCCGCGUGGAGGAUGACACUUUUCGGAGCGUAAACUCCUUUUCUUGGGAAAGAAUUAUGACGGUACCCAAGGAAUAAGCACGGCUA